UACAGAGGUCUCAAGCGUUGUUCGGAUUCAUUGGGCGUAAAGGGUGCGUAGGCGGCGCGGUAAGUCGGAUGUGAAAUCUCGGAGCUUAACUUCGAAACUGCAUUCGAUACUGCCGUGCUUGAGGACUGGAGAGGAGACUGGAAUUUACGGUGUAGCGGUGAAAUGCGUAGAUACCGUAAGGAAGACCAGUGGCGAAGGCGGGUCUCUGGACAGUUCCUGACACUGAGACACGAAGGCCAGGGGAGCAAACGGG
rnacentral:rRNA from 1 species